UACGUAGGGUGCAAGCGUUAAUCGGAAUUACUGGGCGUAAAGCGUGCGCAGGCGGUUUUGUAAGUCUGUCGUGAAAGCCCCGGGCUCAACCUGGGAAUUGCGAUGGAGACUGCAAGGCUUGAAUCUGGCAGAGGGGGGUAGAAUUCCACGUGUAGCAGAGAAAUGCGUAGAGAUGUGGAGGAACACCGAUGGCGAAGGCAGCCCCCUGGGUCAAGAUUGACGCUCAUGCACGAAAGCGUGGGGAGCAAACAGG
rnacentral:rRNA from 1 species